rnacentral:rRNA from 1 species
GAUGAACGCUGGCGGCGUGCCUAACACAUGCAAGUCGAACGAAGCAUUUUAGAGGAAGUUUUCGGAUGGAGUUUGAAAUGACUGAGUGGCGGACGGGUGAGUAACGCGUGGAUAACCUGCCUCACACUGGGGGAUAACAGUUAGAAAUGACUGCUAAUACCGCAUAAGCGCACAGUGCCUCAUGGCACAGUGUGAAAAACUCCGGUGGUGUGAGAUGGAUCCGCGUCUGAUUAGUUAGUUGGCGGGGUAACGGCCCACCAAGACAGCGAUCAGUAGCCGACCUGAGAGGGUGACCGGCCACAUUGGGACUGAGACACGGCCCAAACUCCUACGGGAGGCAGCAGUGGGGAAUAUUGCACAAUGGGCGAAAGCCUGAUGCAGCGACGCCGCGUGAGUGAAGAAGUAUUUCGGUAUGUAAAGCUCUAUCAGCAGGGAAGAAAAUGACGGUACCUGACUAAGAAGCCCCGGCUAACUACGUGCCAGCAGCCGCGGUAAUACGUAGGGGGCAAGCGUUAUCCGGAUUUACUGGGUGUAAAGGGAGCGUAGACGGCUUUGUAAGUCUGGAGUGAAAACCCAAGGCUCAACCUUGGGACUGCUUUGGAAACUAUGGAGCUGGAG